rnacentral:lncRNA from 1 species
GCAGCGGAGCGAGCGCGCACACGUGACGCGGCGCUCGGUGCCUCUACACCGCCGCACACACACACACGCACACCCGGCGCUGCCCUCGGCUCCUCCGGCCGCGUUCGCCGCCUCCCGCUCCCGUCCGCACGCGCCCCUCGGCCGCAGCCAGGGCGAAGCGCGCUCCGCGGCGGCGGCAGCACCGGCACCGGCGGCAGCGACCGCGCAAGAGGCGGCGAGAGUUCGCGUGCACCGGCUGCUGCGUGCCCGCCCGGCGAGUGGUGCGCCCGGAGGAUGGCCGGCUGCGGGCUGUCGGAAGACGCCUUCUUCUCCUCCUUCUUUUACAACUACACCGCCUCCUGGGAGACCUCCUACAACCAGAUAAAUGAACUUGGUGACCUGCUGCUUCUCUUCCAUCACUCUCACACACUGUCCGUGUUGAAGCCCUUGAGCAUCACUGUUGUUGCCUCCUUCAGAGCCAGCUGGCCUCAGGGAAGGAAUCUGUCUGUCAGUGACUGGGAGAGCUCUCCAAAUGGCUGUGACUUGUGUGCUGGCUCCGAGAACUCCUCCUUCAUGCUUUUAUAGCCUGCAGAAAUGGGCCUCUCUAUUAUCUGAAUCCGUGAUUGUUUGGAGAUUGCUGGGCUCUGCCAUGACCCAGGGAUAAUAGCCUUGUGCUUUAUAGCAUUCUGCUGCCCUUUAAAUUUGAAGUGUAGUGAGAGCAAAGUGUGGCAGUUCUUGAAGCAGCAUGGAAAAGGAAGCAGCGUCGGGCUUUGAAGGGAUCUAAAGCAAGCAGGGUGCAGCCAGUUCCACUGCCCUGCUGCUGGCCCUUCGCAGCUGCUGCUUCCCGGUGCCUCGCUCUGAACUACCGCACUCUGCCCUGCUGCUGGGAAAGGGGGGGCAUAACUGUGGAGUUAGAGCUGGCAUCCUGACUGUGGGAUGGGGCUGCGCGUGGCAUGAGGCUGUCAGGCAGCAGGAGCACGCGUGCCAUGGCAUCCCUGCAGUGGGGUUAAGGUAUGCUUCCAACUCACGAGUUAUACGCUGAGUUACCACAGCACCAAUCUUGCCCCUUUGCCCUGCUCGUCCCAGCCUACCAAUAGCUUCUAGAACACUGCUACAGUGGAGGAAGAAGACUUGGAAUCCUAGGUGUCAUAUUUGCUUCUUGGUACAUACGCGGA